AACCUGCUCUGGGGUGGGAGAUGCAGGGAUGAACAGGGUUGGCCGAGGAUCCUCCACUCCCUGCAGCCACCCUGCACCUCCCUCCCAGGGCCAUUCUCCUCAGGGGUUAAACUGGUUUUCCACAAGAACUAGUGCUCAGGGUCAGACUUGUUCUCUCUUCCAGGCUGGUAAUACUUUUCUCCCUGUUAGUUUUCUGUUAUUCGGCUAUAAAGGCUUUCUGUAAGGAUGUUUAGGUUUUAUAUGUACUUUGUCUGAUGUAUAAAACACUUUAUAAACUUUAUCCAUUUAAUUCUGCUACACUGAGCACUCUGCUAUAGGAGCAUUAUCUUCACUUUACAGAUAAGGAGAUUUACAUUCACACAAAGCCAUACUGGAAUUGGGGAGGACCAGGCUCAGGGCUCCAGAUAUGACGAUAACCGCUGUGUGCUUAAGGUGGUAGAUUGUACAGCUCUUUUCCAGCACAACACUGCAGGUCAGGCCAUGGAUUUCCUUUUUUCAAUCUCCUUUUGGUUUCAGAUUGGGUUAAACCUCACUGGAUGUUUACCCUUCAUUUCAGGGAAUAGAACAGGUAAGAUUCUUUAUGAAACAAAAGCAGCUCCAAACUGAAAAGCAGGAAUGUGUCACCCACUACCCACAACUGCAAGCAUAGAUUAGUUCAGAAAUGUGAACUGGACUGGAGGUUUUGCUUUGUAGAGUGAUAUGUUUAUAUGCGAAAGAGGAGGAGAAAAGAGGAGGAAGGUCUGAAGCAUAACAGCUCAUAGAGGGAACUGUGCAAAUGCUUUUCACUAAAUUUUCCCACAACCACAUCUCUGAAGAAAGAGACAAGGAAAGGGAUUCUCGGCUAACUGUUGGUCUGUGUGAAGGACUCCAGUAAAGACCUCAUCUCUGGUGUUUAAGUAGAGCUAAUGUGAGGAGUAAAGAUCAUACAGCAAAAUACAACAUCCAUUAGCUGCUUGCACAUGCAAGGACAAAAAAUCUUUGAUCCCCAAAGAAUACCUUUUUCAUGGGAGUCAGACACAUCACAUGGAGUCUUAAGAUCUUGAAAAUGUCCAGGAAAAAAGGUGCUCCUUGCAUUUUGCCCUGGCAUGUUUUGAAGUGUGCCUGCCCUGAGGAGGUCUUGCAGCUGUGUUUGGAAAACAGACAAGCAACAGUAUCAACGGAUGCUUCCUGUGCUUACCUAUGAGGAUGUUAGAGGGAACUGUGUCAAGAGCCUUGCUGAAGUCAAGGUAGACAGCACUCACUGCUCUCUCAUCUACACAGCAAGUCAUUUCAUUGUGGAAGGCUAUUAGACUGGGUAUGGAAGAUUUCCCCUUGGACUUCAUGCUGUACAGAAUGGGAGGGAAUGUCCAUAAGCAGUCGCAGAAGAAGAGCAUGCUGUAGCAGCCUGCUCCCCACACAGGUCUGAUAUACAAAAGCACUUCAUCACUGACCUAAUUUGGGUCCAUUUAAGAUUUCCCCAGCCUCACUGAUGCUAAUCUCAUUGUCCAGGAAUCAGCAAAGGGUAAUUAGCCUCUGUGAUAAUGAUCUAUCUGUCACAAGAUCAUGCCCUCUCAUUGCACACAAUCUCGGAUGUUGUCUAACCUAGCACAGGAGUACGGAGCACAGCCAUGCACAGAGCUUAACCAAAAAGAAGCAGAAGCCCUUGCUGGGGAAGCAUGGAUGUUGCUCCACCAAUUCUGAAACAGAAAAAAACCAAAUCAUUUGUGAAGAGAACUUCAAGGAAGAACUUUACUGUGAGGAACAGAGGCCUGAUCAAGAAAUAUAUCUGACUUCCUGAGAAUUAGCAUGAUUUUGAGGAGAAAUGUGUUCUCUGCCCCAUCCCACUGUGAAGAUGAGGAGUGAGGGAAUGACUGUGUAGUUCUGAGCCAUCUGAGGAGUUAAACUGCAAAGCAAUGACAGCUUAGGGACAACAGAAGCCCUCAGAGAGCUUGGCCAUGUUUUCACAUCACUCUUCAUUGCAUCAGCUACCUGUUCUCCCUGCAGAAAACCUCCAGAAGUCAUCUGUGACAUCUUCUGCAGCUUUUUGAUCUCCUGAGAUGUGAGAGGGAUCCUGGCUGAAGGGCUUGCAGCUUUGAGAUGAGGCAGGCACAUAUGAGACAAGGCAGCCACCUCUGUUGAUCCCUCAUCCUCAUGCAUGGUAGUAAGGAAGAAAGCUAUGAAUUACAAAUUUUGAAUUUUGCUCUGGGUGUGGACUCACUGGUGGUCAUGAGUGAGGACCUCAGGUGCUUCUAGGCUGGAAGGGAAGAAUGGGACCAGAUGUACACCAGGCAGUCAAAGCGGUCGAAGCUCUGUACACCCACAGCUUGCUGGUGAGCACUGGGUUUUGAAAAUGGAGGAAGGUAAAGAGAGAACUAAUGCAGGUAGGCUGUGGCUGUUGUACGUGUGGCCAUGUGUUCCUGGUUCCUCCCUGUAUUCUCUCUAGUGAAUCUUGCUUCCUGGUUCAGUGUUUUCGUAAUAAUGGCAUAUUAAUAACUACGUAACCCACUGUCUUCUCUAUCCUUGACUCAGUUCCCAGAAGCCCCACUCCUUCCCAUCCCUUCAUGCCCCUCCCUGCCACCAUGAGAGAUGAACAGAAGCAGGCUCUCCUUCUGUAUCUCUGGCUCAGGUGACCUUUCCACAGCUGCCACUUUGAACCUGCCUCAUGGAGGGGGCUUGUGCCCCUUGUGCUCUGCUGCUCUAGGGGAGCGAGACUUGGCUCCAGCAGGCUCACAAGUACACCCCUGUAGAGAGGAGCAGGGAUAAAUGGAGGAUUAACCGCAGCUAUGGGUCUGCCGUCAAAAUGUCUAGAAAGCCUAUUUUUUAAACAACCUGAUUGCAUGUAGGAGUAAUUUCAGUGGCCUGUACUUCUUAGCUCUUUUUUUGUAUUUUGUGGUAUGUGUCAGUGAACAGAACUUAAUAAUACUUCACCCAUAUGAACCUCUGUGAUUGCAUGCAGUUUCAGCAGAAAAACAAAAUUAAUUCUCUCACUUCACAGUAGUUUUUUGGAUAAUAAGCUGACCUUUUGCAUUUAUUUUGUACAUAGAAAACACUACUAAUUCAUUAAGAUAGGGAUCUGCAGAUUAACAUUUUAAGUGUUACUGAAAACAACAAAUUAUGUUAUUUAUAGAGAUUUGAAAUUAUACCUAUUUGAGGCUGCGAGUGCACAAAAUUUAAAACAUAAGAAUAAAAAUAUCUGCCACAGAAGAUUCAAAUCUUACAGGUUUCUACAAUUUACAUAAUGUGAAAAGCAACAACAGCAAUGCUCAUGAAGAAUGCAGAUGAUGUAUAACAGAGUUGGUUCUUACUCUGAUUGCAAACCAACCAUUAAGUCACUACCAGUCUAUUGCUUUAGUUUAAAAAACCAUUAUGUAGAUGAAAUAUACUUGCUUUCAGGUAAUUCUUUUAAUGAUUAAUUUUGCUGGUAUAUCACCAUGAGAUGUCACAGUAUGAUGAUAAUUAGUAAAUAUAAUAAAACAGUAGCUAAAUGUAACAAAUGAUAUUAUAAGUAGAUCAACACUGGUUUUCUAUGAGAGACGCUGUUGAGGUUUGUCCAAAGAUUCAAUAUCGUUUUUAAUUUUUACUAUUAAAUAAUUGGUGCAGCUUGAAAGAGAGAAAUUUCUAGAGAUGGGAGUUACAUUCAUUGUCAUAAUCAACUCCAAGUACUCGUCAUUGACUGCUCUGGGAUAUUUUGGCUCACAGGGCAGCAUUAAGGCCAAUGUUUGCACCUUUAUCUCAGUUGCUGGAAUUCUCUGGUACGCACUUUCUAUUAGGAAAGGUCUAGAUACACUGAAACAUAGCACAUUUGUAAAGCAGAUGAAGAAACUAGUCAGGAGGUUUGCUGACAGCAAAUUUUGUUUAGCUAGUUUUACUAUAAGCAAUUUACUCUACAUGUGCAUUUCUGCAUUCAAAUUGUUCUUUAUUAAGAUCCUUCCCUAAUAAUAUAAAAAUGUGUUUAUAAAGCCUGUAAGUGGUUUCUGUAAUAAGAUUUUUAAUGAGUUGGAAUAUUAAAUUAAGUUUUGUAGAAAUGCUUGAGGUGUUGUUAUAACUAACUUACAAACUGUACACCAUUAACUUUAUCAUAUAGAGUAAUUUUGGUUUCUAUUCAAGCAAUAUACAGCUCCGAAAUACUAACUGUCAGAUACUUUACACUGCAAAUGGAAUUUUGCUGACUAUUUAGCAAUAAUGUCUGUGGUUAUGAUAUCUGAGCCCCACAGGGAGAGCAAUUCAGCUGGUUGGUCAACCUGGGGGUGGGCUGCAUUGUCAGGUUGUGCGCUCCGUGCUGGGUGGCAUAAAGCAGAGCAGCCCAGAAGCACCACAGGCUGCUUAGCUGGCACUUGACAGAGACUGUCUGGCUCUCUGGGGUUUACAUUCUCUCCCCUUUGCUUACAUCUGGGUUUCCUUAAAAGUAAGAAAAUGUGCAGAGAUCCCCAAACAUUUACUGUCUCAAUGGCCAGUGCACAGCAGACGAAGCAUAGCUAACCUUAAGCUGCUCAUGUUUAAAUAAAAGUGAUUAAUGAGAUUGCAGAACAAGCAGCAAACUCAGAGUUUUUCAGUUGUGUUUUUGCACUCUAUAGUUAAUACAAAAUCAUCUAACAUAAGAUGUAUAACUUAGACUAUGGUUCUUCCUUACCCCCACCUUUUUUAAAACUUCUACUGAUAGUACAGGGAACUCAUGCUCCUAACUUUUGAAAGGCAGGUCUUCCAGAACAACUGAUUUUUGCUUGUAAGCUGCUGCCCUCUUUGCUCCUGGCAAAAAUGCUGCGUGUUGAUGCAGAUGAUGGUGUAACUAGGACCCGUAUAAGUCUUAUCAUCCAAGCAAAUAUGCCUUUGCCAUAAUGGGCAAUAUUUUUCAUGACCUGAUAGAUGAGGGAUAGAUGAGUUGUGCAGCUCUCCACUGUUUGGACAAGAGGCCAUCAGCAGCUGAGGAGUGAAACAGUGCAUCACACCUCAUGUGGAUGGCAGGAGUUCUCUAAAACGGAUGAUAUGGCUACUUUUCUUAGAGGUCUUUAACUUCAUUUGUAAAUCUACGGAUGCUUUUUGUUUCUUAUUCACAUUUUACUUCACCUUAUAUACUCUUCAUCUACUUUCUCACUUCUUAUCCUUUUGACUUAUUCAAGGUUUGUCAUAUCUCAGAGUGGCAGGUCAGUGAAAAAGCUCCCACUGAGUUGGAAGAAAAUGUGUUUUGUCAUUAUUUUGAUUUUGACUUUGAGAAGUUUGAACUGGUAUAAGACAAGCUCUGCUCUUCCAAACCCUGGUGCUGUGACAGUGGACCAGUGACAACAGCUUAUCCUGUCUCAACUCCUUCAUCUUCAAAAUGAUGGUGAGGAUAUGUACCUCUGUCAAGUGCUAGGAGAAGAAAAAGCAGCAUUAUAAAUAAAACCAAAGCAUUACUGUGAUCUAUUGUGUAGAUUUAGUAUCCAGCAUUAGUUGAAGUUUCUCACCCCAGGGAAGCAUGGAGCUGCUGGCCACGUAAGCUGGAAAGUGAAAAGCUAUCUGUCACUCUGGCAAGUUGUGCAUCCCAAGUGGAGACAGCAGCACAUAGAAAAAACACGACAUGCCAUAGGGAUGGCAAUGACUUUCUUGUUUCAAGCAGAAUCUGGUUAAGGUAUACUGUUAUUACUGCUUGCUUUAAAUUAAAAUACAUUAAAUGCUGCCAGUAAACUGAGAGCUGGCAGCAUUGAGAAACACGAAGCUGCUGCUGAAUAUUCUGCAAGGCUAACUGCAGUUAUUGAGGGACUUACCAUUGCAGCAAAUGGGCUGCAACAUCAGAUUUUAAGAUACUGGGGUAGUGCUGUUAAGCUGUGGUGCAUCUCAGAUGUGCUGCCUCUCCUCAUGAGAUUGACGUGGAUUCUGCUGUGCUCACCACACUCCAGUGCAGAGCACUGCAGGGCAUUCAGCCUGUUGAGAAAGGUCAAAACAAGACUACAUCAGCCUCUGAACCUAAAAACUCUGAACUCUUUGCUACCUAUUAGGAUGAAUGAAGAAAACUGUGUUUUGAUGUGUGACAUCCCAAAGAAUUGCUUGAGGCAGACGAGAAAGUUAGUGCUACUUAAAGGAAGGAGUGCUGUCUGUAAGCGGGAUCUCUCAAAGCACAGAGCACAGCCUGGCUCCAACAAGCUGCCUUCUAAACAGAAGCUGUCCACACUGAAUUGGCUGUAGAUUUGGUAAUGAGGUGCUCAUCUCAACAGUCAUUAAAAUGUUUCCACCUUUUUACUCGGUUAAAGAAAAGUCCUUUGUUCAUUGUAAGGUAUUACGGAAAUAAACGGUGUUUAAAGAAA